rnacentral:lncRNA from 1 species
CUGAUCUCCAUCAGUGAUGUUCAGAUACGAGACGUUAGCGGAUGCUCUGCUCUGCACUACGCUGCUAACAUCAGCUGCUCUCUGAGGGACGAGAUCAUCACUGUUCUAGUGGAGGCUCUGAACUGCUCAGACGCUGUUUCCACGUCGUCUUCCACCUCUGAUAAAUGGCAAGACCAGGACUCCCAGUUUGGAGAUUCAGACACAGAGAGUGUUGAUCUUUAUCUGCCUCCAGCAGCUUCUGCCAUGCAGACGUUCACUCAUCAGCAUCGACUGGUACCUUACAGCCAGCCUGAGGUUUUUGAGACGUCUGACUGUCUUCAUUCAUCUGACUCUGACACUGACCUGAGCCC